GAUGAACGCUGGCGGCGUGCCUAAUACAUGCAAGUCGAGCGAACAGACGCGGAGCUUGCUCCUCUGACGUUAGCGGCGGACGGGUGAGUAACACGUGGAUAACCUACCUAUAAGUCUGGGAUAACUUCGGGAAACCGGAGCUAAUACCGGAUAAUAUAUUGAACCGCAUGGUUCAAUAGUGAAAGACGGUUUUGCUGUCACUUAUAGAUGGAUCCGCGCCGCAUUAGCUAGUUGGUAAGGUAACGGCUUACCAAGGCAACGAUGCGUAGCCGACCUGAGAGGGUGAUCGGCCACACUGGAACUGAGACACGGUCCAGACUCCUACGGGAGGCAGCAGUAGGGAAUCUUCCGCAAUGGGCGAAAGCCUGACGGAGCAACGCCGCGUGAGUGAUGAAGGUCUUCGGAUCGUAAAACUCUGUUAUUAGGGAAGAACAAAUGUGUAAGUAACUAUGCACGUCUUGACGGUACCUAAUCAGAAAGCCACGGCUAACUACGUG
rnacentral:rRNA from 1 species